UACGUAGGGGGCAAGCGUUGUCCGGAUUUAUUGGGCGUAAAGAGCGUGUAGGCGGUUAGGUAGGUCCGUUGUGAAAACUCGAGGCUCAACCUCGAGACGCCGAUGGAAACCAUCUAACUAGAGUCCGGAAGAGGAGAGUAGAAUUCCUGGUGUAGCGGUGAAAUGCGCAGAUAUCAGGAAGAACACCCGUGGCUAAGGCGGCUCUCUAGUACGGUACUGACGCUGAGACGCGAAAGCGUGGGGAGCGAACAGG
rnacentral:rRNA from 1 species